CCUACGGGUGGCAGCAGUGGGGAAUAUUGCACAAUGGGGGAAACCCUGAUGCAGCGACGCCGCGUGAGUGAAGAAGUAUCUCGGUAUGUAAAGCUCUAUCAGCAGGGAAGAAAAUGACGGUACCUGACUAAGAAGCCCCGGAUAACUACGUGCCAGCAGCCGGGGGAAAAUGUAGGGGGCAAGCGUUAUCCGGAUUUACUGGGGGUAAAGGGGGCGUAGACGGGAGAGCAAGUCUGAAGUGAAAGCCCGCGGCCCAACUGCGGGACUGCUUUGGAAACUGCCCGGCUAGAGUGCUGGAGAGGUAAGCGGAAUUCCUAGUGUAGCGGUGAAAUGCAUAGAUAUUAGGAGGAACACCAGUGGCGAAGGCGGCUUACUGGACAGUAACUGACGUUGAGGCUCGAAAGCGUGGGGAGCAAACAGGAUUAGAUACCCGAGUAGUC
rnacentral:rRNA from 1 species